rnacentral:rRNA from 1 species
UGUAGCGGUGAAAUGCGUAGAGAUGUGGAGGAAUACCGGUGGCGAAGGCGGCCCCCUGGACAAAGACUGACGCUCAGGUGCGAAAGCGUGGGGAGCAAACAGGAUUAGAUACCCUGGUAGUCCACGCUGUAAACGAUGUCGAUUUGGAGGUUGUUCCCUUGAGGAGUGGCUUCCGGAGCUAACGCGUUAAAUCGACCGCCUGGGGAGUACGGCCGCAAGGUUAAAACUCAAAUGAAUUGACGGGGGCCCGCACAAGCGGUGGAGCAUGUGGUUUAAUUCGAUGCAACGCGAAGAACCUUACCUACUCUUGACAUCCAGAGAACUUAGCAGAGAUGCUUUGGUGCCUUCGGGAACUCUGAGACAGGUGCUGCAUGGCUGUCGUCAGCUCGUGUUGUGAAAUGUUGGGUCAAGUCCCGCAACGAGCGCAACCCUUAUCCUUUGUUGCCAGCGAUUCGGUCGGGGACUCAAAGGAGACUGCCGGUGAUAAACCGGAGGAAGGUGGGGGUGACGUCAAGUCAUCAUGGCCCUUACGACCAGGGCUACACACGUGCUACAAUGGCGCAUACAAAGAGAAGCGACCUCGCGAGAGCAAGCGGACCUCAUAAAGUGCGUCGUAGUCCGGAUUGGAGUCUGCAACUCGACUCCAUGAAGUCGGAAUCGCUAGUAAUCGUGGAUCAGAAUGCCACGGUGAAUACGUUCCCGGGCCUUGUACACACCGCCCGUCACACCAUGGGAGUGGGUUGCAAAAGAAGUAGGUAGCUUAACCUUCGGGAGGGCGCUUACCACUUUGUGAUUCAUGACUGGGGUGAAGUCGUAACAAGGUAGCCGUA